rnacentral:lncRNA from 1 species
CACAGGACUAAUUCAGUAAGACAAUAAGGGCCUUGUAUAAGUAAAAAUAACAGAAUUCAAUAUUUAGCAGCUAGAAGAAGUGCUGAAUAACCAAUAUUAAUUAUUAGUGAUGUAGAAGCAAGCAGUUUACAUAGCAGAAGAGUCUAAUUGCAGGUGCAGUGAUUGGAGCAAAGGGAUAACGUGUGAGAAGAGGAUUAGUGCUCCUGGCUAGUAGGACUGUCAUGAAAUGAAGAGGCCAACUUGUCGAACAAGGAUCACUUAGCUUCAGGGCAGGAAACUGAUUGCACUCAAAAAGCUCCUGGCACACAAAACUUGAGGGAGACAGAACAUUGAUGCAAGCCACCCGGUCCACAUCACCCCUCUGAUGACAGGAUUUUCCCAGUUCCAGGAUGUCAUGUGGACACUGUACAAAGUUG